AUACGAAAGGUGCAAGCGUUGUUCGGAUUUACUGGGCGUAAAGAGAGUGUAGGUGGUUUAUUAAGUCGGAUGUGAAAUCCCGGGGCUCAACCUCGGAACUGCAUUCGAUACUGAUAGGCUAGAGUUUGGGAGGGGUAAGCGGAAUUCCGUGUGUAUCAGUGAAAUGCGUAGAUAUACGGAGGAACACCUGAGGCGAAGGCGGCUUACUGGACCAAUACUGACACUGAGACUCGAAAGCGUGGGUAGCAAACAGGAUUAGAAACCCUAGUAGUCC
rnacentral:rRNA from 1 species